rnacentral:rRNA from 1 species
CGCCUCUUGACAAACAUAAGAGGUCCAGCCUGCCCAGUGACAAAGUUCAACGGCCGCGGUACCCUAACCGUGCGAAGGUAGCAUAAUCACUUGUUCUUUAAAUAAGGACCAGUAUCAACGGCAUCACGAGGGUUACACUGUCUCCUUUCUCCUAUCAGUGAAACUGAUCUCCCCGUGAAGAAGCGGGAAUAAGAAUAUAAGACGAGAAGACCCUAUGGAGCUUUAAACCCAACAGCAUCUUUAUAUUUUACACCAAUAUAGCCUAAAAAGGACUGCCCGUUGGUUUUAGGUUGGGGUGACCACGGAGAACAACUUAACCUCCACAAUGAAUGGACCCACAUCCUAAUCCCAGAACAACAUCUCCAAGAAUCAAUAACUUGACAUAAAAUGAUCCGACCCUCGAUCAACGAACCAAGUUACCCUAGGGAUAACAGCGCAAUCCACUUCAAGAGCUCCUAUCGACAAGUGGGUUUACGACCUCGAUGUUGGAUCAGGGCAUCCCAGUGGUGCAGCCGCUACUAAAGGUUCGUUUGUUCAACGAUUAAAGCCCU